rnacentral:tRNA from 2 species
GGUCACGUAGCUCAGCAGGAUAGAGCACGAGCCUUCUAAGCUUGUGGUCAGAGGUUCGAAUCCUCUCGUGAUCG